AACGAACGCUGGCGGCAGGCUUAACACAUGCAAGUCGAACGCCCCGCGAGGGGAGUGGCAGACGGGUGAGUAACGCGUGGGAAUCUACCCAGUUCUACGGAACAACUGAGGGAAACUUCAGCUAAUAUCGUAUACGCCCUACGGGGGAAAGAUUUAUCGGAAUUGGAUGAGCCCGCGUUGGAUUAGCUAGUUGGUGAGGUAACGGCUCACCAAGGCGACGAUCCACAGCUGGUCUGAGAGGAUGAUCAGCCACACUGGGACUGAGACACGGCCCAGACUCCUACGGGAGGCAGCAGUGGGGAAUAUUGGACAAUGGGCGCAAGCCUGAUCCAGCCAUGCCGCGUGAGUGAUGAAGGCCUUAGGGUUGUAAAGCUCUUUUAGUGGGGACGAUAAUGACGGUACCCACAGAAGGAGCCCCGGCUAACUUCGUGCCAGCAGCCGCCGUAAAAC
rnacentral:rRNA from 1 species